rnacentral:rRNA from 1 species
UACGGAGGAUCCGAGCGUUAUCCGGAUUUAUUGGGUUUAAAGGGUGCGCAGGCGGGAGAUUAAGUCGGCGGUGAAAUUUUGCAGCUCAACUGUAAAAGUGCCAUCGAUACUGGUUUUCUUGAGUGUGGAUGAAGUAGGCGGAAUUUGCGGUGUAGCGGUGAAAUGCAUAGAUAUCACGAGGAACUCCGAUUGCGCAGGCAGCUUACUAGGCCAUAACUGACGCUCAGGCACGAAGGCGUGGGGAUCAAACAGGAUUAGA